rnacentral:tRNA from 1 species
CGGAUGCGAGGGAGACGGCAACCCACCUCAUUUGGGAUGAGGACACACCGCGUUCGACUCGCGGGCAUCCGACCA